rnacentral:rRNA from 1 species
UACGUAGGGGGCAAGCGUUGUCCGGAGUUAUUGGGCGUAAAGCGCGUGUAGGCGGCCAGGUAGGUCGGUUGUGAAAACUGGAGGCUCAACCUCCAGACGUCGACCGAAACCAUCUGGCUAGAGUCCGGAAGAGGAGAGUGGAAUUCCUGGUGUAGCGGUGAAAUGCGCAGAUAUCAGGAAGAACACCGAUGGCGAAGGCAGCUCUCUGGGACGGUACUGACGCUGAGACGCGAAAGCGUGGGGAGCGAACAGG